rnacentral:lncRNA from 1 species
CAGGUCGGUGCUGAGCUGGUGCCAGGGGAGAAGUGCUCUGCAGGUGCCAGGGCAGGGGACAGAGGGGACAAAAAGGACAGAGGUUCCUUCUCUGUGCCCAGAGAGCCCAGGACACCCCUAGGGCUGGGUCUGGUCGGUGCCAAGGUGGUGCCAGGGCAGGAGGACACUGCAGGUGACAGAGGGGACAGAAGUUCCCUCUCCGUGCCCAGAGAGCCCAGGACACCCGCGGGGCUGGGUCAGGUUGGUGCCAGGACAGGAGGGCACUGCAGGUGCCAGGGCAGGACCCGUGCCCAGGGCGGAGCUGGUUUGUCCUGCAGGGCCACAGGAAGCCACAAACCCAUCGCCCCUGAGCGCCCUAAUGAGGCUGCGUUAAUUAGAGCAGCUAAUGGGCUGCUCCGGCCUCUGUGGAGCCGCUUUUGUAAUCCCUCGCCUUGUUUUGCAGCGGCUGCGGGAAAUAAGGGAAAAAACCCACGUGGCUUAGCCAAGGGAAGAAAGAGAGAAAGAAAGAAAGAGAGAGAGAGAGAGAGAGAGAGAGAGAGAAAGAAAGAAAGAAAGAAAGAAAGAAAGAAAGAAAAAGAAAGAAAAAGAAAGAAAGAAAGAAAGAAAGAAAGAAAGAAAGAAAGAAAGAAAGAAAGAAAGAAAGAAAGAAAGAAAGAAAGAAAGAAAGAAAGAAAGAAAGAAAGAAAGAAAGAAAGAAAGAAAGAAAGAAAGAAAGAAAGAAAGAAAGAAAGAGAAAAAAAGAAAAAGAAAGAUAUUUUUAUCCAAUUCAAGGCACUGACCCUGUAGAAACGAGGACUGGUGAUGUGAAACUGCAAAUAUAUAAUCAGCACUCGAACAGCCCCAUUCAUCUCCAGGAGAAGUCUCUGACACACAGUGUGGGAAACACUAAAAAAAAAAUUAUUUUCUAUUUUUGCUCACAAAUGAGGGGGAAAAAUUAAAGGAAAUCUGGGUUUGGUAUUUACUUCUUUUGAGCAAAAAAAUAUUUUCUCUUAAAAUUUUUACAUUCUUUAUAUAAUGAGGGAAAUACUGCUC